GAUCCUGGCUCAGGAUGAACGCUGGCGGCGUGCUUAACACAUGCAAGUCGAACGGACCAAAGGGGCUUGCUCCUUUGGUUAGUGGCGGACGGGUGAGUAACACGUGAGCAACCUGCCCAUAUCUGGGGAAUAACACAGUGAAAAUUGUGCUAAUACCGCAUAAGACCACAGAGAGGCAUCUCUCAGGGGUAAAAGAUUUAUCGGAUAUGGAUGGGCUCGCGUCCCAUUAGAUAGUUGGCGGGG
rnacentral:rRNA from 1 species